rnacentral:tRNA from 1 species
GGGAAGGUAGCUCAGCGGUAGAGCACUUGCCUUGCAUGCAUGAGGCCCUGGGUUCAAUUCCUCAGCACCA